rfam:Sediminibacillus halophilus strain CGMCC 1.6199 genome assembly, contig: Ga0079860_107
UCAAUCCUGAUGUGUUCGUCUCAUCCAAUACGUUUUGACCGAACAUUUAGUUGAACGGGAGCCUGCGGUUUCUAUGCGGCGUGCAAGCCUCAUUGGAAUCUCUGAUGAGAGGAAGCAUAAAACAUAGAACAGGGCACCCACCUGCCGAGAGCGGGUUCAAAACUAUCAAGGGGACGGCACGAUCGGGAUUGAU